rnacentral:rRNA from 1 species
AGUGAACGCUGGCGGUAGGCCUAACACAUGCAAGUCGAACGGCAGCACAGUAAGAGCUUGCUCUUACGGGUGGCGAGUGGCGGACGGGUGAGGAAUACAUCGGAAUCUACUUUUUCGUGGGGGAUAACGUAGGGAAAAUUACGCUAAUACCUCAUACGACCUAAGGGUGAAAGCAGGGGAUCUUGGGACAUUGCGCGCUUUAAUGAGUCGACGGCGGAUUUGCUAGUUGGCGGGGUAAAGGCCAACCAAGGCGACGAUACGUAGAUGGUCUGAGAGGAUGGGAGGCGACAGUGGGAAGUGGACCAGGGACGAACGCAUACGGGAGGCAGCAGGAGGGCAGAUUUGGAGAAGGCAGCAAGUCUGAACGUGCAAGGAAGAGGGAGUGAAGAAGAUUUUCGGAUCGUAAAACUCUGUUGGUAGAGAAGAACGGUGGUGAGAGUGGAAAGCUCAUGAAGUGACGGUAACUAAAAAGAAAGGGACGGCUAACUACGUG